AACGAACGCUGGCGGCAGGCCUAACACAUGCAAGUCGAGCGCGCCUUCGGGUGAGCGGCGGACGGGUGAGUAACGCGUAGGAAUAUGCCCUUCUCUACGGAAUAGUCCUGGGAAACUGGGGGUAAUACCGUAUACGCCCUUUGGGGGAAAGAUUUAUCGGGGAAGGAUUAGCCCGCGUUGGAUUAGGUAGUUGGUGGGGUCAUGGCCUACCAAGCCGACGAUCCAUAGCUGGUUUGAGAGGAUGAUCAGCCACACUGGGACUGAGACACGGCCCAGACUCCUACGGGAGGCAGCAGUGGGGAAUCUUAGACAAUGGGGGCAACCCUGAUCUAGCCAUGCCGCGUGAGUGAUGAAGGCCUUAGGGUUGUAAAGCUCUUUCAGCUGGGAAGAUAAUGACGGUACCAGCAGAAGAAGCCCCGGCUAACUCCGUG
rnacentral:rRNA from 1 species